AUUGAACGCUGGCGGCAUGCUUUACACAUGCAAGUCGAACGGUAACAGGGAGCUUGCUCCGCUGACGAGUGGCGAACGGGUGAGUAAUGCGUCGGAACGUGCCGAGUAGUGGGGGAUAACGCAGCGAAAGUUGUGCUAAUACCGCAUACGUACUGAGGUAGAAAGGGGGGGACCUUCGGGCCUCACGCUAUUCGAGCGGCCGCCGUCUGAUUAGCUAGUAGGUGGGGUAAAGGCUCACCUAGGCGACGGUCAGUAGCGGGUCUGAGAGGAUGAUCCGCCACACUGGGACUGAGACACGGCCCAGACUCCUACGGGAGGCAGCAGUGGGGAAUUUUGGACAAUGGGCGAAAGCCUGAUCCAGCCAUGCCGCGUGUCUGAAGAAGGCCUUCGGGUUGUAAAGGACUUUUGUCGGGGAGGAAAUCCCCAGCGCUAAUACCGCUGGGGGAUGACAGUACCUGAAGAAUAAGCACCGGCUAACUACGUGCCAGCCGCCGCAGUAAAAC
rnacentral:rRNA from 1 species